GCGCGCAGGCGGCUUCUUAAGUCUGAUGUGAAAGCCCGCGGCUCAACCGCGGAGGGUCAUUGGAAACUGGGGAGCUUGAGUGCAGGAGAGGAGAGUGGAAUUCCACGUGUAGCGGUGAAAUGCGUAGAGAUGUGGAGGAACACCAGUGGCGAAAGCGGCUCUCUGGCCUGUAACUGACGCUGAGGCGCGAAAGCGUGGGGAGCAAACAGGAUUAGAUACCCUGGUAGUCCACGCCGUAAACGAUGAGUGCUAGGUGUUAGGGGGGUCCAACCCCUUAGUGCUGAAGUUAACACAUUAAGCACUCCGCCUGGGGAGUACGACCGCAAGGUUGAAACUCAAAGGAAUUGACGGGGGCCCGCACAAGCAGUGGAGCAUGUGGUUUAAUUCGAAGCAACGCGAAGAACCUUACCAGGUCUUGACAUCCUCUGACACCCCUAGAGAUAGGGCGUUCCCCUUCGGGGGACAGAGUGACAGGUGGUGCAUGGUUGUCGUCAGCUCGUGUCGUGAGAUGUUGGGUUAAGUCCCGCAACGAGCGCAACCCUUGAUGUUAGUUGCCAGCAUUCAGUUGGGCACUCUAACGUGACUGCCGGUGACAAACCGGAGGAAGGUGGGGAUGA
rnacentral:rRNA from 1 species